AAAAUCUCAAAAAAAAGUGAGUAAACCAAAGUUAAUCAUUUUUGCAAGUUUGACUCUAAACUAUCUCAAAAGACCAACCAAGAACAAGCAACCAUUUUUAAUCAAAAAAAUAGAACCUAAAAGUUAAAAAGUUUAAGUUAAAAUCAUUGCCCAAAAAAUGUGAAAAAGCUAGGUAGAAAUGGUGUUGAGCUUGAAUGUGAAGCAAGGGAUUUGGGAUGAAAAUAUUUGUGGUGAAAGCUUAGUAAAGGGGUUGAGUUAUG
rnacentral:lncRNA from 1 species